AAAGUCGUAACAAGGUUUCCGUAGGUGAACCUGCGGAAGGAUCAUUAAAUAAUUUAGAUGGCCUUUGCUAGUUUUCUAGCGAAUGGUUCAUUCUUUUUUACUGUGAACUGUUUUAAUUUUUCAGCGUCUGAGGAAUGUCUUUUAGCCAUAGGGAUAGGCUACUAGAAUGUUAACCGAGCUGAAAGUCAGGCUUAGGCCUGGUAUCCUAUUAAUUAUUUACCAAAAGAAUUCAGUAUUAUAAUUGUAACAUAAGCGUAAAAAACUUAUAAAACAACUUUUAACAACGGAUCUCUUGGUUCUC
rnacentral:misc_RNA from 1 species